UGGCCUCAACGUUUCCCGAACUUGACACUCACCUAAGGCGCUCACUUCCCCAGGCUGCUCCCAGUCAAGGUGCAUUCUGUGGGCCCGGGAUCUGUUCACCACGCCCCGUGCCAACGAGUAAGCCGAGCCUAUCACAUAGGAUUCUCCUGCAAGUCAGCCCUGCAGGGAAGGGGUGAUGGUCCCCAUUUUCUGACGCAGUGUCCUGAUCUUUCCCCGGUACCUGUUGAUGGAAGUGGAGCCAUUAGGGGAAGCGGUGAAGUUAUUAUGAAAAUGAGAUAAUUGGUGUCUGGGAUGUUCUGCUAGUGACCUCUGUACCUGGCCCAUUCUCUUUGCUCUGCUCGUGUCUACCUAACUGCCUACUACAGACAGAGCAUGUACCCGCACACUGAAGGGUCUCGGGUUCGAUUCACAGUCAAGAGCACAUAUCUGAG